CGCGAGGUCAGAGGUCGCGCGGAAAAACCGUUACAAACAUUCAAGCGCAAGCACGAAUAUCUGAGAGGGCGCUGAGAGCUACAUUGAGUCCUUGGUCACAUGCCGCUACUUCAUUCGUGAAGAACCUGGACGACAGACGCUAUUAUCAUCAAUUCUCAAAAGAGACACCAUUGUCCCUAUCAAGGACUUCUUAUUGAUAUUUCACCUGGAUCAGUCUCAAGAUAACAUAUUGCUUGUUUGUAGCAACAUAUUGUAGCAAUAAAAAAAAAGACUUUAAAAGACUGAAAGAACAAAGCAAACAAGAUCAAAAUUAAUUCAAGGUCUGUUUGGUUAGAUGUGCACAUAUAGAUGGUAAUUUCCACAAUGCAGUAAGUUUAUAAUUGUAGAGAAUGAUGAGGGUAAAAAUGUUUUUCUCUAUUUUCAGGUAUGCAACAGGUGAACACAACAAGAUGUCUUCAGCCCUGGUUACCAAAUACCAGUUCUUGAGAGUAAAGACUGGCAGAGGAUGUGCUUAAAAACAAAUUCCAAAAGAGAAAGAUCACCUUUGAUUAAUGUUGAAGAAAUAAAUGAAAUUUGCUGCAGGUUCAGCAAAGAAAACAGAUCAUUUUAUCAGGAGUCCAUCAAAAAUAUGGCAGCCAUUGUAGAGAUGGAUGAUCUAUCUGGCCAAGAUUUGUAUCAAAAGAGGCCAAGGCCAGUAGGGGUAAGUGUCACAGACAGAGUCUGGUGGCACAGACAGUGAUCAACGAGUGCCAAAGAAGAGCAGUUGGGGAACCACAUACACCCAACCCCGUGCUGUUUAUAAAGGGACGUGCCUUGGAUGCAGAGUCUCUUUUAGAAAUAAUGAUGGAAGGGGAGGAGGAGGUCUGAGAAGUAGACAAUGUGAACACCGCUCUACACUUCAUCUUCAACACUGAAUAUGUUUCAAAGUUGAGAGACACCCUGACAUUCAUUGAGAACUGUUUAAUGUAUCAUAAUGCCAAAACCAAUAUGCCAGCCACAAUGGACAGUUUUUUUAAAUUAAAUUAACGUAUAUGUAUAUGUAUAUAAAUGCAUGAUGUUGAUUGUUGUUUAUUUAUUAAUG